UACGUAGGGUGCGAGCGUUGUCCGGAAUUAUUGGGCGUAAAGGGCUCGUAGGCGGUUUGUCGCGUCGGGAGUGAAAUCCACUGGCUUAACUGGUGGCUUGCUUUCGAUACGGGCAGACUGGAGGUAUGCAGGGGAGAACGGAAUUCCUGGUGUAGCGGUGAAAAUGCGCAGAUAUCGGGAGGAACACCAAUGGCGAAGGCAGCUCGCUGG
rnacentral:rRNA from 1 species